rnacentral:rRNA from 1 species
UUGGCGGACGGGUGAGAAAUGCAUCGGAACGUGCCCAUGUCGUGAGGGAUAACGUAGCGAAAGCUACGCUAAUACCGCAUACGCCCUGAGGGGGAAAGCGGGGGAUUCUUCGGAACCUCGUGCGAUUGGAGCGGCCGAUGUCGGAUUAGCUAGUUGGUGGGGUAAAGGCCCACCAAGGCGACGAUCCGUAGCGGGUCUGAGAGGAUGAUCCGCCACACUGGGACUGAGACACGGCCCAGACUCCUACGGGAGGCAGCAGUGGGGAAUUUUGGACAAUGGGGGCAACCCUGAUCCAGCCAUGCCGCGUGAGUGAAGAAGGCCUUCGGGUUGUAAAGCUCUUUCGGCCGGGAAGAAAUCGUGGUCUCUAACAUAGGCCAUGGAUGACGGUACCGGACUAAGAAGCACCGGCUAACUACGUGCCAGCAGCCGCGGUAAU